GGCAGUUGGACCCCAGAGUGUGGCACGUGUUCCUGUGUUCAUUUGAAUAUUCUGUGAUGACCUGUCACGGAGGUCAUGUGAUGAUGUAUAUCCUGCCCUCCAUCCCAACUGCCACUGGGUUUCAACUGCCACCUGGGAGACUGCUGGUAAAGAUGGGAGGUGGCCUUUGCCGCUUUCCAUCUUCUCACUGCAGUUUCUUCACGUGGGCCACUUGUACUUAAAAUGUCUUCUUAAUUUAUUCUUUUUACUUCCCCAGCUCCAAUUUGUCUACAGAUUUACAAAUUUGUUUUAUAGUUUUAUGACUCAAUUUGUAUUUUCGGUCCUAUGAAGCUUUUUGCCUUAAAUAUUUUUCUCUGUUUAUAAGAAUGUGCUGUUUCCUAGGCCAGUUUUGUACACACUCUUCCAUAGAAUAGAUCCAGAAGAAACACAACAAUACUGCCUUCAUCAUAUCAGGAGAUCUUGAUACCAAAUACGAGUGUUGCCUCCAAGAUGCAAGAUCCUGAGGGCUCCAAAGAAUCCACUGUCCGUCACAAAUCGACGGUCCGCCAGCUCAGUUUCAGAGACGUGGUGCUCCGCUGCAGGCCUCAUCCUCAGGUGCACCCUGGCAGUCAGCCAUCUGAAGGUACUAUGGAAAUUCAGUUACUCACUCUUGGGAGCAGAAGGAUUCCAGACCAUUCCUGUGUGCACCCUGGCAGGGAGCCAUCUGAAGAUUUCAGGGACCACCUGGAGGGGAGCGGACCAGAGAGACUUCCUCGGAAUAGGCUGUGGCUCUUCACAAGGUGUCUUCUAUGCUUUAUUUGGGAGCCAUUGCCUUGAGCGUUAUUUCCCAGAUGGUUUUCUAAUGUCACCAACUGAAGAAAAGACCCAUGCACACAGGACACAGCAUGAUCUGAUGCUCACAGCGUUUUCCUUCCUCUCUGAAAACGGACUCAGCGAUUCUGGCAAGCGGUACUUACUCUGAGAUCACCCGUUUGCUAAGGAAAAAUCUUAGUACUGAGAAAGGUGACACUUUCCUCCCUGCUUUUGCUGGAGAGACACUUUGGUUAUGAGUUAUUUCUAGCAUAACACAGUUUAUUUCAGAAGUCCAGCUCAAUAGCAGACCAAGGCAUGAACAACACAUGAAAAUUUAUGUUGGGAAAAUAUAUAUUGUAUGUCUGCUUGAACUGUGGGUUCUUGAUUAAUACAAAACUGGUUGAUGAAGGUUGUUACCUUCAGGAAAAUGCAAAUCUAGUGGAGGGACAAAACUCACAGUAACAGUAUUUCAUCAUAGCCACCAUGAGGCAGUACAUUAUGAAGCAUGUCAGUGAUGAAUUACUGGCAGGCUGGUCUGUCAUUGAAGCUACACUCUGUUUCUAGCUUCUGUUGCUUCUGCUGUCUCUCUCCUAACAUCUGCAUAUUCCUCCACUUUGUGGUGGAGGAAGCAUUAGGGCUGAUAUAGGGGAUUUCCAGUGAGUGUAUAAUUCAGUGCAGAAUUGGCAGGAAUAUAUUCCAUGGUUAGGAGCUGGAGAAAGUAAGAAAUAAAAAUAGACCUUGAAGAAUGGGUAGGAUUUUCAAAAUCAGAGAUAAAGACGCAAGAAAGAGAAUUCAGUUUUUCAAGUUUCUAAGCAAUCAUAUUUACAUGCAUAGACAUUUUGCUGGUUUCUGUCUUACUAAUGUAUACUACACUGUGUCUAAUCACUCUGAGGGCUGGUAUUUCGGGUCUGUUCCAGACACUCAGGAAUCAUUUGUUCAGCUUGUUCUAUAUGCUGGAAACUGUUGCAGGGAUGGAUAUAUGCAGUCCUUGUCCCAAAGCAGCUUAUGACUCCAAGAGCAAGGGAUAGAAUAUGAACAUGUGUCUUUGGGUUACUUCUAGGGGUAAGAAUGAGUUCUGUGGGCAGAUGCAUACAGGAAGUGGGGAGAGGGAGAAUGAGAUACAAACUAUCCAGGCAGGAGGCAUUGCAGUAAUCAAAGUGAACUAUGAGAGAAGCCUGGGGUGUUGUAAAAAGAAAGAAA
ensembl:lncRNA LINC01120 long intergenic non-protein coding RNA 1120